rnacentral:siRNA from 1 species
CUAUGGAGCUCGACUUGAGCUUCC